rnacentral:rRNA from 1 species
AGUGAACGCUGGCGGUAGGCCUAACACAUGCAAGUCGAACGGCAGCACAGUAAGAGCUUGCUCUUACGGGUGGCGAGUGGCGGACGGGUGAGGAAUACAUCGGAAUCUACUUUUUCGUGGGGGAUAACGUAGGGAAACUUACGCUAAUACCGCAUACGACCUACGGGUGAAAGCAGGGGAUCUUCGGACCUUGCGCGAUUGAAUGAGCCGAUGUCGGAUUAGCUGGUUGGCGGGGUAAAGGCCCACCAAGGCGACGAUCCGUAGCUGGUCUGAGAGGAUGAUCAGCCACACUGGAACUGAGACACGGUCCAGACUCCUACGGGAGGCAGCAGUGGGGAAUAUUGGACAAUGGGCGCGAGCCUGAUCCAGCCAUACCGCGUGGGUGAAGAAGGCCUUCGGGUUGUAAAGCCCUUUUGUUGGGAAAGAAAAGCAGCAGGUUAAUACCCCGCUGUUCUGACGGUACCCAAAGAAUAAGCACCGGCUAACUUCGUG